ACAAAAGUGAUCUCCACCCUGCCUCCGAGGCCUGCUGGAUUGCCCCCUGGGCCCAGCCCACAGGUCCCUCCCACUGACUAUGGCAACAGCCAGAACUGGGAGCCUCCUAGGUGCUACACGUGCAUCAUCAGCCCCAGGCCUCCCUUAGGGCCUCUACCUUCAAACCACAGCAUCCCCACCCCACCCUCACCCCAGGUGGGAAGCUGGCGGCUCAGCCUGGAGGGACCCUUUUAAUUUCCAGGAUAAACAGACUGUCAUCCUGGCCUAGCCCUCUGCGGGCUUGCUGCUCCCCGCCCCCCUCAAUCCGCAGUGCACAGCCCGCUCUGUUCUCCUGCCAACUUGGCAGCUCGCUGCUGCUGCUGUUACUAUCAACACCUCUGAGGGAAAAGGGAGAGAAGUCGGCUCUGAUCGCCUAGUGCACUGAGCCACAAAUGCACGUUGAGCCAGAGCACUCUGGAAUGUCUCCCAAGCUCCGAAGGCUCCGGGUUGGGCAAGCUCCACGCAGGCCCAGCCCAUUGACUUCAGGAAGCUCCGGGUGCCUGUCUCUGUCUCCGGCUAGGACUCCCGGGGGCCCAGUCGUCAAGAACCAAGAACUUCUUCAAGGACACAAGGCACAGUCUGCUGAUAGAUGUGCCCUCGCCCAGAUGUGAAACUGAUAGUAAGAUUAUUUCCAGCCCCAGGGAUCUGAAAACCCUCACCCUCCUGCUAAGAACUACCCAGCUCCCCAGAAAACCUUCAGACUAUCCCGGGGCCUGGCCACAAGAAAGAACUCACUCUGCAAGCUGGAAUGGAAAUAAACCCCGAGAGGCUGCACCUGUGAGCAAGCCCUCAGAUGAUGCCCUGUCAGCGUUUCCAUGACAAACUCAUAUUUCCGGAUGCUUCUCUUCCAGCUUGAAGAGCAUGCCUCUCGGCGAGGCUUGAUACUGAAAAUGCAUUCAUAAUUUUUUUCCCAAAAAAAGAUUGCACGCUCCAUAAAAAUUUACACUCUCCGUA